UAAAAUUGCGCAACAUUAUUUAGUCAACUGUUAACGUGGAUAGUUGCUUUUGUGAUUUGUGUUUCAAAAAUAUAGAUAAAUCUAAUCGGCUUUGGAUGAGCAUUAUCAAACAAUUACAAUAAUCAGAUCUUAAAGAAAAAUUCUCAACAUGGAAAAGGGGAAAAAGUCUCUUUUUAAUGUGAUCACUUCGAACUAUUCGUCUACAAAGUAUUCUCUGAGUGUUUCGGGCUGUUAACAAAAGAAGUGGACACAACAAUGUCGUUAUUCCAGAAUUGCUCAUUCUAAAUAAUGGACACUAUAUACCAAAUUGGAA